rnacentral:lncRNA from 1 species
GGGAUCCGAUGUGACGCUGUUGGGACGGGGCGUUGUGUCGGGAUCUGACGCUGCCUUCAAGAGUCACACUGUUGGGAUGGGGUGUUGCGUUGGGAUCCAACGCUGCCUUCAAGUGUGGCACUGUUGGGAUGGGCUGUUGCAUUCGGGUGUCGCAUCGGGAUUGGGUGUCGCAUUCAGGUGUUGUUGCAUGGGGAUCCAUUGUGACGCUGUUGGGAUGGGGUGUUGCGUCAGGAUCCAACGCUGCCUUCAAGAGUCACACUGUUGGGAUCGGGUGUUUCGUUCGGGUGUUGCUGUGUUGGGAUCCAGUGUUACCCUGUUGGGAUGGGGCGUUGUGUCAGGAUCCAAUGCCACCUUCAAGAGUCGCACUGUUGGGAUGGGGUGUUGCUGUUGGGAUCCGAUGUGACGCUGUUGGGAUGGGGCGUUGCGUUGGGAUCCAACGCUGCCUUCAAGAGUCACACUGUUGGGAUCGGGUGUUGCGUUGGGAUCCAACGCUGCCUUCAAGUGUGGCACUGUUGGGAUGGGCUGUUGCAUUCAGGUGUCGCAUUGGGAUCGGGUGUCGCAUUCAGGUGUUGUUGCAUGGGGAUCCAAUGUUACGCUGUUGGGAUGGGGUGUUGUUUCGGGAUCCGACGCUGCCUUCAAGAGUCGCACUGUUGGGAUCGGGUGUUGCAUUAAGGUGUUGCUGUGUUGGGAUCCGAUGUUACACUGUUGGGAUGGGGUGUUGCAUUAAGGUGUUGCUGUGUUGGGAUCUGAUGUUACACUGUUGGGAUGAGGUGUUGUGUCGGGAUCCGAUGCCGCCUUC